GUGCUCACUUCUGCAGCACACAUCUGAAAACUGGAAUGAUACAGAGAACACUAGCCCAGCCCCUGUGUAAGGAUAACACAUAAAUUCAUGAAGCAUUUCAUAUUAAA
rnacentral:snRNA from 1 species